GACGAACGCUGGCGGCGUGCUUAACACAUGCAAGUCGAGCGGUAAGGCCUUUCGGGGUACACGAGCGGCGAACGGGUGAGUAACACGUGGGUGAUCUGCCCUGCACUUCGGGAUAAGCCUGGGAAACUGGGUCUAAUACCGGAUAUGACCUCCUAUCGCAUGGUGGGUGGUGGAAAGAUUUAUCGGUGCAGGAUGGGCCCGCGGCCUAUCAGCUUGUUGGUGGGGUAAUGGCCUACCAAGGCGACGACGGGUAGCCGACCUGAGAGGGUGACCGGCCACACUGGGACUGAGACACGGCCCAGACUCCUACGGGAGGCAGCAGUGGGGAAUCUUGCACAGUGGGCGAAAGCCUGAUGCAGCGACGCCGCGUGAGGGAUGACGGCCUUCGGGUUGUAAACCUCUUUCAGCAGGGACGAAGCGCAAGUGACGGUACCUGCAGAAGAAGCACCGGCUAACUACGUG
rnacentral:rRNA from 1 species